rnacentral:rRNA from 1 species
AUUGAACGCUGGCGGCAGGCCUAACACAUGCAAGUCGAACGAGUGGCGGACGGGUGAGUAAUGUCUGGGAAACUGCCCGAUGGAGGGGGAUAACUACUGGAAACGGUAGCUAAUACCGCAUACCAUCGGAUGUGCCCAGAUGGGAUUAGCUAGUGGGUGGGGUAACGGCUCACCUAGGCAACGAUCCCUAGCUGGUCUGAGAGGAUGACCCGCCACACUAGAACUGAGACACGGUCCAGACUCCUACGGGAGGCAGCAGUGGGGAAUAUGGCACAAUGGGCGCAAGCCUGAUGCAGCCAUGCCGCGUGUAUGAAAAAGGCAUUCGGGUUAUAAAGUACUUUCAGCGAGGAGGCGUUACUCGAAGAAGGAGGACCGGCUAACUCCGUGCCAGCAGCCGCGGUAAUAC